rnacentral:tRNA from 1 species
GCCUCCGUGGCGCAAUUAGCUAGCGCGUUCGGCUGUUAACCGAAAGGUUGCAGGUUCGAGCCUUCCCGGGGGCG